GAGAAAUAUAAAAUGACAUGAAGAAAAAUAAUAUAAAAAGAUUUAUGAUUUUGAAAUAUACCUAUUUAUUUUGCGGAAAUAUUAUUAGAAUAUGUAAUUAUUUUCAAUGAGAGUUAGAAGGAAAAAAAGAUCACAUGGUGGACUCUAUUAGUUAGUUUAAUAUGGAGGCUUUGUUGUUGUCAUAUGUACAUAGUAUCUUCAAAGCAGAUGAUAGACGAU
rnacentral:misc_RNA from 1 species